rnacentral:sRNA from 1 species
CUGAUUUUCCAUUUAUUUGCGUAAAUUAAAAAAAAAGUAGCAGGAACGGGCGAAAUCCUGGCACGCACUCACACAUACGCGGAAUGCAGGACUCGCGGCUCCAAAAUAAAUAAACUGAGAUAAAGCGUAGCCAACAACAAGGAUGUCAACGUAAUUGGACACGCGCGCCGGGGGAAAUGCGGAGAAUGGGUAAAAAUUGCGAGGUGGUUUUGGGGAAAACGUCGCUGAUUGCCGACCCGUCCAUCAGAGCGUGUGUUUACUGUAAAUAGACAAAGUGGCGGCCGCACAGGACACGGACUCGUGCCCGUCUCGCUGGCUCCGAAAUGACAUCACAAUUUCUUAUUAUGCUGCUGUCAUAUGUGUUUAAUUUGUGCCGCCCAAAUGAAUUUCCGGUUUUGCUGAAUUCAA